rnacentral:rRNA from 1 species
CCUACGGGGUGCUGCAGUGGGGAAUAUUGGGCAAUGGGCGCAAGCCUGACCCAGCAACGCCGCGUGAAGGAAGAAGGCUUUCGGGUUGUAAACUUCUUUUGACAGGGAAGAGCAGAAGACGGUACCUGUCGAAUAAGCCACGGCUAACUACGUGCCAGCAGCCGCGGUAAUACGUAGGUGGCAAGCGUUGUCCGGAUUUACUGGGUGUAAAGGGCGUGUAGCCGGGCUGACAAGUCAGAUGUGAAAUCCGGGGGCUCAACCCCCGAACUGCAGUUGAAACUGGUGGGCUUGAGUAUCGGAGAGGCAGGCGGAAUGCCUGGUGUAGCGGUGAAAGGCGGAGAGAUUAGGAGGAACACCAGUGGCGAAGGCGGCCUGCUGGACGAAGACUGACGGUGAGGCGCGAAAGCGUGGGGAGCAAACAGGAUUAGAUACCCGAGUAGUC